AGCAUGGGGAGCGAACAGGAUUAGAUACCCUGGUAGUCCAUGCCGUAAACGUUGGGCACUAGGUGUGGGGAACAUUCCACGUUUUCCGCGCCGCAGCUAACGCAUUAAGUGCCCCGCCUGGGGAGUACGGCCGCAAGGCUAAAACUCAAAGGAAUUGACGGGGGCCCGCACAAGCGGCGGAGCAUGCGGAUUAAUUCGAUGCAACGCGAAGAACCUUACCAAGGCUUGACAUGUUCUCGAUCGCCGUAGAGAUACGGUUUCCCCUUUGGGGCGGGUUCACAGGUGGUGCAUGGUUGUCGUCAGCUCGUGUCGUGAGAUGUUGGGUUAAGUCCCGCAACGAGCGCAACCCUCGUUCCAUGUUGCCAGCACUUCGGGUGGGGACUCAUGGGAGACUGCCGGGGUCAACUCGGAGGAAGGUGGGGACGACGUCAAAUCAUCAUGCCCCUUAUGUCUUGGGCUUCACGCAUGCUACAAUGGCCGGUACAAUGGGUUGCGAUACUGUGAGGUGGAGCUAAUCCCAAAAAGCCGGUCUCAGUUCGGAUUGGGGUCUGCAACUCGACCCCAUGAAGUCGGAGUCGCUAGUAAUCGCAGAUCAGCAACGCUGCGGUGAAUACGUUCCCGGGCCUUGUACACACCGCCCGUCAAGUCACGAAAGUCGGUAACACCCGAAGCCGGUGGCCUAACCCUUGUGGAGGGAGCCGUCGAAGG
rnacentral:rRNA from 1 species